UAGGCAAAAAAAUUAUUAUGCCGUUGUUAUAUUUUCAUUGCGAAUUAAUAAAUUAAUAAGCUGUAUUUAAUAGGGUAUAUAACAACAUAUGCUUAUUAGUUGAGAUUGAAAUCUGUGUAGGGCUACAUAAAGAUCGCAAUAAAGGAAUAUGGUUGCUAAGACUACACUUGUGUUACUUUUGGCUAUUGUUGUUAUGGCAACAGUGAAGGGAAAAGCGGUUGGAAAAUCAGAACGUGGAUCAUCAUGUGUAAGGAAUUUUUGUAAUGUUGGGGAGGAACCGUGUUGUGGAAGAAAUAAAAGAUGUCACUGUUUUGGUGACAGAGCCAAAUGUCGUGUUGGAUUAUGCCGUGAAAUUAAACCUCGGUAUGAGUAUUAUUGGUGAAACCAAGGCUACCGGAUGUGAAAGAAGAAUAGAAGAGGAACCAAAAAUUAAUAUAUAGACCAUACAUGAACAAUAAAAAAAGAGAUUUAAAUCAAUAAAGCAGUUCUUCUUCAA